GGUGCAAGAAUUUUUACAUGAACAAUGCAAUUAAUUGGUGGAAGACUCCUCCAGAUAGCCCUAACCUAAACCUCAUUGCGGAUGUUUGGCAUGAGAUCAAGGACUACCUUCAAGUCCAUGCCAAACCCCGUACAAAGGAACAGCUUGUUGAGAAAGAAGUUUUAGAGCGAGAAGAUUGGCAAGGUGAAAUGUGGACACUACAAAAACAACAUGAUAGACAAGUGCAUUCCAGCAGUGAUGAAGGCGAAGUGGAGUGAUUUGAGUCUUACAAGAAAAAAAAAAUGGCUCCUUUAGGAUCCACCCAAAUAAAUAAGUCUACCCUUAUGUUAAAAUAAGUUCUGCAUUUGUUUUCAGAAAAUAGCCAGCUAAUUAGCUGUGCAGUUUUUCCGCAUUGUUGCGUGUGCAUUGUUCCCUGUUCCCCGAAUUUAAGCAAUAGCAUAAAACAACAUCUAAAGUAGAAAUUAUAUCUCCUUUUUCCAUGCCAGGUAUAUAUUAUUGGUAAAUAAACUUGUUCUUAGUAUUCCUUCAGUUUUAUUGUGUGUUACUACAUUGUGAAUGUGCCAUUUUGAUUUGGAAUUAAAAGGCGGGGCUCCUGUCAGUAACAUAAGAUCAAACAGGAACCAAAGGUGCAUUUUCUAUAUUUCUAGAAUCUACUUAUCUAUUUUCUAGAAUCUAACUUUUUUCCUAUUAGUCUUUAACCAAUUUUAAUGAGUAGAUUUGAGAAUUAAAAGGCAUCUGCUCAUUAGAAACAUGUCACAAUAGCCGGUUAAUUCAUAGAUCCGACAAGCGCACGAAUAACCAAUCAGAAAGCAGCAAAUAGAAGCCAGCGAAGUGCAACCCAAAUGUCCCACAAAAGUCCCACAUUGUACAAAGCUAUUUUUGUCAACUUGCAGUGAUUUAAGUGCGGGGAAAAGUAGAAGAGAAUGCCGAAUUCGCUGUUUACGUCUGACUUCUAACUACAAGUUUUAUUGGCAAAUGUCAAGAUUUACAGCAAUAAUACAAACGACAGUCUCCAGUCUUAUAUGUAAUUGAAGUAACCUAGGAUAAUAUCAAACACAAGUUUAAUGGUAGGACUUAACACUGUUCUUGUAUGUGUGGUUUGUUUGCUUUUUGUUUCUUCGCAGAAAUUUUACCUGUUUUCUGCAAUUUGAGUCCCAACUCUACACUAAAAGUGGCCGGUCAAAGAAAACAGGACUAUCACUUUCUACGCUGACCGGAAGAUGCUUAUUUUGCUUGUCCAGAUUCGCAAAAAAAUAUCUCAGCCACUUAUUUAUUACAUAGGAGUCUGUUUCUUCUUGUGUUAUCGAAUACUCUGGUUAACUUUUUAAGAUUUUUCUACACAAAAACUAUGGAUUUGUUUUAAUAAAUUUCUUGGCUGCAAGAAGUUCUUUGAGCCUCAGAUUAUUUGUCAAGCUUUUGCAAAUAUUACAUUACACAAUCAAUUGCAGUUUUUGAUUCGAUGCUGGGUAUAAAUUGAAAUGUUCACAAUCAUUAAGACAGAUCGACAUAGCAAAAGAACACUUCACUCAUCUCGAUCUGUGAUUAACUAAUUAUCAAAAAUGGAAACUAGAACAGUGCAAAUUUUAUGGAGCCCGGGGUUGUAUCAAUUGCAUUACAGACGUCAAUAAACAGCCCAUCGCCUUUUAAGAAGGGUCAAAAUGUAUCUGUUAUGUGGGUAACAUAAGUCAACACUAAGACGCCUAUUAAGAAGGGUCAACAUGUAUCUGUUAUGUGGGUAACAUAAGUCAACACUAAGACAGUAAUGAUGUACCCGUCCCAGCAAGAGAUGGCAGCCACUACACACAGCAGCAGAAAAACGCAGGAGAAGAGUUAUUGGAAGAUUGAUUGCUGAAUCAGAACCAACAGAAGUAGAAGAGGAAGAGCAAGAAUUUGUUGUACUUCCCAA